rnacentral:rRNA from 1 species
AAUAUUGGACAAUGGGCGGGAGCCUGUUCCAGCCAUGCCGCGUGUGUGCAGAAGGGCUGCGGAUUGUAAAGCACUUUAAUUUGGGAGGAAGGGCAGUUAACGAAUACUUCACUGUUUUCACGUUACCAAAAGAAUAAGUACCGGCUAACUUCGUGCCAGCAGCCGCGGUAAUACGAAGGUUGCAAGCGUUAAUCGGGAUUACUGGGCGUAAAGGGCGCGUAGGUGGUUCGGUAAGUUGGAAGUGAAAGCCCCGGGCUCAACCUGGGAAUUGCUUUCAAAACUGGCGAGCUAGAGUACGGUAGAGGGUGGUGGAAUUUCCUGUGUAGCGGUGAAAUGCGUAGAUAUAGGAAGGAACAUCAGUGGCGAAGGCGACCACCUGGACUGAUACUGACACUGAGGUGCGAAAGCGUGGGGAGCAAACAGG